GCGGGUGUAGCUCAGGGGUAGAGCACAACCUUGCCAAGGUUGGGGUCGAGGGUUCGAAUCCCAUCGCCCGCUCCA
rnacentral:tRNA from 1 species